AUGGGGAAUUCAAAAAGCACGGUUGGCGAACAUCAACCUGAAGAUGACGUAACUACAGGUCUUACAAGCGGGAGAAGUGAUGCAGAACACAAUGCGAGCAUCAUACCCGUAGCUGAAAUUGUUGAUAACGUCUACUCGACGGAAUCAGUCCUUACGGGCGGGAUAAAUGUUGGAGACUACAAUGCAAACUUCAUACCCUUACAUGCAGGGCGGGAACCUUCAAACGACGGGAUUCCGUCGUAUUCUGAGAAUAAUAAGGAUGGUACGACUAAGCUACGAGAUGAUACUCAAGAUGACAAAACUUCCGAGCAGCAUGCAACAGUAGCUGUAUUUAAUGAAGAAAAAAAAACGUUGGCGAAACAAGGGAGCAGUUCAACGCACAGAGGCGUGAAUCUUAUCGGAAGAAAAAAGAGGAGGAUAUGGUCAGGUUACAAGAGUAUAAUCAGCCAUGCCUUUCAAAGACCGACCAUAGAGAUCUUAUCAACGCGUGGAGGCGGGCAUCUUAUCGCACUAAGAAGUCAGAUGAUUUUAUAA
rnacentral:rRNA from 1 species